rnacentral:rRNA from 1 species
AUUGAACGCUGGCGGCAGGCUUAACACAUGCAAGUCGAGCGGAGAUGAGGUGCUUGCACCUUAUCUUAGCGGCGGACGGGUGAGUAAUGCUUAGGAAUCUGCCUAUUAGUGGGGGACAACAUUCCGAAAGGAAUGCUAAUACCGCAUACGUCCUACGGGAGAAAGCAGGGGAUCUUCGGACCUUGCGCUAAUAGAUGAGCCUAAGUCGGAUUAGCUAGUUGGUGGGGUAAAGGCCUACCAAGGCGACGAUCUGUAGCGGGUCUGAGAGGAUGAUCCGCCACACUGGGACUUAGACACGGCCCAGACUCCUACGGGAGGUAGCAGUGGGGAAUAUUGGACAAUGGGGGAAACCCUGAUCCAGCCAUGCCGCGUGUGUGAAGAAGGCCUUAUGGUUGUAAAGCACUUUAAGCGAGGAGGAGGCUACUGAGACUAAUACUCUUGGAUAGUGGACGUUACUCGCAGAAUAAGCACCGGCUAACUCUGUGCCAGCAGCCGCGGUAACAC